rnacentral:rRNA from 1 species
AGAUGAGUCAAGUGGCAUACGGGGGAGUAACGACUAGAGACCUGCCGCAUAGAUGGGGACAACAGUCCGAAAGGACUGCUAAUACCGAAUGUUGUCAGAUUCCCGCAUGGGAGACUGAUUAAAGAUGGCCUCUACUUGUAAGCUAUCGCUUUGCGAUGGGUCUGCGUCUGAUUAGCUAGUUGGUGGGGUAACGGCCUACCAGGGCGACUAUCAAUAGCCGGUCUGAGAGGAUGAACGGCCACAUUGGAACUGACACACGGUCCAGACUCCUACGGGGGGCAGCAGUGGGGAAUCUUCCGCAAUGGGCGAAAGCCUGACGGAGCAACCCCGCGAGAGUGAAGAAGGGUUUCGGCUCGUAAAGCUCUCUUGACGGGGACGAAGGUGCGACAUGCGAAUAGUUUCUCGCAAUGACGGUACCCGUCGAGGAAGCCACGGCUAACUACGUGCCAGCAGCCGCGGUAAUACGUAGGUAGCGAGCGUUGUCCGGAAUUAUCGGGCGUAAAGGGAGCGCACGCGGGAAGGCAAGUCAGUCUUAAAAGUGCGGGGCUCAACCCCGUGAUGGGAUUGAAACUGUCUUUCUUGAGUGCAGGAGAGGAAAGCGGAAUUCCUAGUGUAGCGGUGAAAUGCGUAGAUGUUAGGAGGAACACCAGUGGCGAAUGCGGCUUUCUGGACUGUAACUGACGCUGAGGCUCGAAAGCGUGGGGAGCGAACAGGAUUAGAUACCCUGGUAGUCCACGCCCUAUACGAUGAGUGCUAGGUGUAGGAGUAUC